rnacentral:lncRNA from 14 species
AAGAAAAUGUUCUCUUCACAUCUAAGGCUGCCUUAGAGAAACUCAGAAGGAACAGUGUGUCCUGUCCCACUGCAGACAAGUUUCUGAGACAAUUUAGGGUCCAGUCCUCCACCUUUGGAGUGGAAACAGAAACACUGGAACACAGAAGACCCAGCCCUGCAAGACUGCCUGUGGUGAUCCUGAACAGGAUGAAAUGAAUUCCCUUUCUGUACUAAGAACAGACUCUGAAGUUAAACCCAAGCUGGAUGGGGAUGCUGUGGACCUCACCCCAUGGACCCCCACCACAAUGCACUUGCUCAGAUCUGUUCUGUCUGAUGACAGCACUUCUGUAGUGAGCUCUCAAAGAAGUGAAUUGACCUCAAAUGUCUGCCCAGGGUGCUGCCAUUUCCAUGAGGCCAUGAGGUCUCUACUGGCCUGGGAAGAACAUCAUGGACACGGUUGGCAUUCUGUGGCCCUCUCAGUGCUGAAUCAGUUGAGCUGUUCAUGAAGGCAUCUAAAUUUAACACCAGAACUUCAUGGGCUGUUGUUCAGAGAGGACUCAAGGAUACAGUUUCUUCCAGGGUUGGUGUUCAUCACUAGCUAUUCCUGUAUCAAUUCCAAGAAACCUUCAGUUUCUGUGCUUGCAAGCAUAAGCCUUUUUCUGCAUGCAAACUGCAGAUCUCAGCACCCUGAAAACAAC